rfam:Physcomitrella patens subsp. patens PHYPAscaffold_126 genomic scaffold, whole genome shotgun sequence.
UUUGUUCAUUUCCGGCAUCUUGCUGUGCACUACUUAGUACGCGCGUAGUUGCAGGCAUUCCGGGUGCAGCAACUGACGCGGAAGACUUUUCCCAGAGUGUGCGCUUCAACUGGCGUGCUGAGUAGUGCACAGCAAUAUGCUGGGCAUGGACAGC